GACAGAGGGGGCAAGCGUUGCUCGGAAUCACUGGGCGUAAAGGGCGCGUAGGCGGGAUGGCAAGUCGGUCGUGAAAUCCCUCGGCUCAACCGAGGAACGUCGAUCGAUACUGCUGUUCUUGAGGAUUGCAGAGGAGACUGGAAUUCCCGGUGUAGCGGUGAAAUGUGUAGAGAUCGGGAGGAACACCGGUGGCGAAGGCGGGUCUCUGGGCAAUUCCUGACGCUGAGGCGCGAAAGCGUGGGGAGCAAACGGG
rnacentral:rRNA from 1 species